CUGCGGACGGAGAAGCGUUUGCGAAUCGGGAGGUUGGGGGAUGAAGACGGAGUGCUGCGGUUAAGCGGGCCAAGGCCCAUCAACAUUGGAGGAACGCUUAAAGACGACCCGUCACUUCUGCGCUUAUUGGGACUUGGAGAGAAACACAGGCGUAAGACAGAGGCGGGUUUUUACUCAAGUGAGAGCGAUGAGGAGGCAGAUUUCCGAGGCUUUCAGGCAGAGAGCUGCUGGUCCUUGCGCUCUAGCCGCACCGUUUCAGAAAGAAGCGUAGUCAAAUCGUCAUUAUCAAUACAAGAGGAGUCUCCGUCAGCUCCAGAGCUCGAGGCAGGAAAUCUUG